UCCUCCCGCCUCAGCCUCCUAAAGUGCUGGGAUUACAGGUGUGAGCCACUGUGCCCGGCCCCAGUACAUAGAUUCUGACAACACACACUACUUCUUGUGGUUAUUACCUCUGUCUUACUUCAGUGUUCGUGUUUAGAUUUUUCCUCUCCCUCUAAUAUGUUUUAUUGAAAGUAACUUCUUUUAUUAAAUGACACCUCUGAAAUAUGUAGUGCAGUUCCUGUUCUCCUGGCUGGACCCUGACUGAUGCCAUGGGGAAAGCCCUCGGGCUCGUGGACCUUAAAUUCCAGGUGAGGAAGGUAGACAACAAACCAAUAAAAGAAGGGUAGUAAAAAAUGUUACAAUGAAAAAUUAGACAGGGUAAUGGAUGGAGCCUGGGCUACUUUAGAUUAGUUGGGGAAAGUCUGUCCAAGAAGGUGACAUUUAAGCAGAAUUGAAUUUCCACCCAUGUAAAGAGCUGGGGAAAGAUGCCCCAGGGACAGAGACCAGUCAGUGCAAAGGCCUUAUGAUUUGAAUGGGCUUGGAUUCAAGGAUCAGAAGGAGCGCUGGCAUGGGCAGAGUGGGGUGAGGGAUGGGAGCUGCAGAGGAGGGUGACUGAAAGGCAGGCAGGGGCUAGAUCACAUGGGCCUCCUUUGCCAAGGAUUAGUUUCUCUUUUUUGUUUUUUUUAGAAAUUCUGAAUGUGUUGAAAAGGCUUUAGAGGGAUUUAAAAUAUAGGAAAUAACAAGGUCUGACUUAAAUUUACAAAAGAUCUCUCUAGCAGCUGAUGGGCGACAGUCUAUAGGGAGCAAGAGCAGAAGAUCUAUUCUCCUCAGGGCAGACAAUAGGCACCUUUCAAGGACGAGGCAAGUAAGGCCCAGAGAGCUGACAAGAUCUGUCCUAGCUCACUCCAUUUUGUACUUUUGGUUCCCAGACCAGUGGCCCUUUGUGGCUACACAUUCUCUAACUGAGGCACAACUGACCAGGCUCCAGGUGAAGCUUCUCGGCCUGGUAUGCAGAGAAGACGAAGCCCUUGGGGCAGCCCAGCACCCACCCUUGACAAUACUCCUGCUUCAUUACAGGUCCUGUUGUGCCCAACUCAUGAUUUAUCCAGGUCACACCAGUCUGGUCUGUCACAGUAAGAGGUGGGUGAGCCUUGAAAGAAAACAAGGCUCCGUGGGGGUUUCUGUAGAUGUUGCUGUGAAUUCAUAAGUCCCAAAAUUUGCAUUAUUCUCCUUUUUUCUUCCCCAACAUGUAGUCCAUCACCAAAUCCUUCUGCCUUUCCAAACAUUUGCUGACUCUGGCCCCUUUUCUUCAGGGCCACCAGGAAACACACCUUCAGGAAGCACCUUUUCUGUUCUAUCCCAAAGGGCACCAUCACAUACACUAUAAUAUGAAUCAUGACCCCCGGAGUUGUGUGGAGUUUCUGCAUCUCUCCCUCCCCACUGUGGCUACCCUCAUCCAGCAACCAUCCUGUCUCUCACCGGUAUUACCGCAGCUGAGACCCAGGUCUUAAGGAAGCUGAGACCCAGGCCAGCAGGGGCCUCACAGGUAGAAUGAAGGUGAUGCUGGUGGGAUUUGGGGCUUACCUUGAAUAGGCAGUAGGGACAUUCUGAGUAGAAGGGAGGGGUCACUUUGUAAGUAGAGGUAGGAGAAAGAGAAGAAUCUUUUUAUAUGCUUCAGGCAACAGGUUUUUGCUUUAUUGAAAUAACCCUUCCUCCUGCAAAUUUUGGGGAUGGGGGAAAUGGCUGGAUGGGUCCUGGGAGUGCUGCUGAGGUGAUCUCAGGUCAGAAAUUUUUCUCCACAGCUUGGAAAAAGAGGAGGGUGUAAGACUCUGGAUGAAGCUGAGAGAUCCUUCCAUGCUUGGCUGAGAGACUACACAGACAUGAGCUUCAGGAGACUCCAAAGCCUCGGAUCCCCUUCUAAACUAGCACUGAAUUCUGAUUGGCUGUCUUUGCCUGCCUCAGUUUGUUCCUUUUACUGAUUGGCUAGGUUCUUCUGCCCAUGGCAGAGCCCUGCUCCAGCCACCGGAUCCUCCCACCUGCCACAGUGUCACCUGGGAUUGGCUGGGCUCUGAAAGGCCAGGCUGGCUUGACUCUUGCCAUCAUCAGAUUCUUCCUCAUUAAACAAAUGAAUCACAAUCCUAAUUAAUUUGAGCAACAGAAUUUAUGUAACUACUCCCAGCAGGAUGUCUGCUCUCAGUCAGCAGAGAGAUUACUUCCUCUCUCUGGGAAAUUCCAGCCUUGCUGGUCAAUAAGCCUUAAUGAUGACUGAAAUCUCCCAUCUGUCUCUGCUCAGGGCAGGUAACCCCUACUAAGCAGACACCCAGUUGGCUCGAGGCAGUACCCCGGGCACCGGCAGGACAAGGACAACGAUCUCCCAGCCUAGAUGUGUCCUGAGCCACAUGGAGCACACAGAUUACAGGAUCUGACUCCCAUUUGGGCCUUCCACCUCCGCUGGCCUAAGCAGUCAAGUGUCAGAGAGCACUGGACCUAACAGCUCCCUCACCAGAGCAGCUGUGAUUCCUUCUUCAUUUCCAGCAGGGAAGACCCAACAACUUUUAUAAUAUGGGAUUUCUUUUAUUCUCAUGAUAAUAAUGUUCAUUGUGGAAAAUAAAAAAAAAUGAUAAAAUAAAAAUCAGCCAGAAUUCCAA